CAUAGCAGUUUUAUUCUGAAUAAGUAAAACAAUCCUAGACCAACAGAAAAACUUAUCUUAACAGGUGAUGCAGAAAGAAUGAUAAAUCCCAUUAUAAUCUCCAUUUAAUGCUUCUCCACCUAUCUACUUCUCCUUCCUCCUCAAGCUCUCACUGCCAAUCAAUAGCUCGCGAUUGAUUUAGAACCAGAGCCACUUGAACCGGCUGAGCCGAUGAGCCACUGCUAUGUUGCCUAACAAUGGCUUGCGGUGGAUUUAGAACCAAAGCCACUUGAGAUAAAGAAGAAGAGUCUGAUGGAUACGGAAUACCGGUGAUGGUAGAGGGACUAAAGGAGUUGGAAUUUUAUAAUAGUACAAAAUGGAGAAUCCAUUGAAAAAGGAGAUGAUUAACCAUUUGUCAUUAUUGUAUGAUUGGAGUUUGGUGUUUGUCUUAAUCUCUUAAUUACUACAGUUUCUUACUUUAAUUAAUCAUCAGGUAUGGAAUAAGAUCUGUUUUUAUUUUUCUAAUAUUAAAAUAGUUAAUUAGAAAAUAUCGGCAAUUGAUCA